GCCUGGGUGGUUCAGUAGGUUGAACAUCUGACCUCAGGUCAGGUCAUGAUCUCAGGGUUCGUGGGUUCGAGCCCCGCAUCGAGCC
rnacentral:tRNA from 1 species